GACGAACCGUGCGAACGUUGUUCGGAAUUACUGGGCGUAAAGGGCGCGUAGGCGGCCAUCUAAGUCAGACGUGAAAUCCCCCGGCUUAACCUGGGAACUGCGUCUGAUACUGGAAGGCUUGAGUAUGGGAGAGGGAUGUAGAAUUCCAGGUGUAGCGGUGAAAUGCGUAGAUAUCUGGAGGAAUACCGGUGGCGAAGGCGGCAUCCUGGACCAUUACUGACGCUGAGGCGCGAAAGCUAGGGGAGCAAACGGG
rnacentral:rRNA from 1 species